GGGGCUGACCGGUUUUGACAGCGGGUAGAAAUGGUGUGUAAGCAUGCAGAGCGUGGAUGGCUUGCUCUAUAAUCUCAGACAUCAAAAAUUUAACUGGCGAAAAUAACUACGCUCU
rnacentral:tmRNA from 1 species